rnacentral:rRNA from 1 species
UACAGAGGUCUCAAGCGUUUGUUCGGAUUCAUUGGGCGUAAAGGGUGCGUAGGCGGCGCGGUAAGUCGGGGUGUGAAAUCUCGGAGCUUUAACUCCGAAACUGCAUUCGAUACUGCCGUGCUUGAGGACUGGAGAGGAGACUGGAAUUUACGGUGUAGCGGUGAAAUGCGUAGAUAUCGUAAGGAAGACCAGUGGCGAAGGCGGGUCUCUGGGCAUUACCUGACGGCUGAGGAGCGAAAGUGUGGGGAGCGAACAGG